CUUCGGUCUGGUGGCGAGUGGCGAACGGGUGAGUAAUAUAUCGGAACAUACCCAGUAGUGGGGGAUAACUAUCCGAAAGGAUAGCUAAUACCGCAUACGAUCUGUGGAUGAAAGCAGGGGAUCUUCGGACCUUGUGCUAUUGGAAUGGCCGAUAUCUGAUUAGCUAGUUGGUAGGGUAAAAGCCUACCAAGGCGACGAUCAGUAGCUGGUCUGAGAGGACGACCAGCCACACUGGAACUGAGACACGGUCCAGACUCCUACGGGAGGCAGCAGUGGGGAAUUUUGGACAAUGGGGGCAACCCUGAUCCAGCAAUGCCGCGUGAGUGAAGAAGGCCCUCGGGUUGUAAAGCUCUUUUGUCAGGGAAGAAACGGAGUUCUCUAAUAUAGGAUUCUAAUGACGGUACCUGAAGAAUAAGCACCGGCUAACUACGUGCCAGCAGCCGCGGUAAUACGUAGGGUGCAAGCGUUAAUCGGAAUUACUGGGCGUAAAGCGUGCGCAGGCGGUUUUGUAAGUCUGAUGUGAAAUCCCCGGGCUCAACCUGGGAACUGCAUUGGAGACUGCAAGGCUAGAGUGUGUCAGAGGGGGGUAGAAUUCCACGUGUAGCAGUGAAAUGCGUAGAGAUGUGGAGGAAUACCGAUGGCGAAGGCAGCCCCCUGGGAUAACACUGACGCUCAUGCACGAAAGCGUGGGGAGCAAACAGGAUUAGAUACCCUGGUAGUCCACGCCCUAAACGAUGUCUACUAGUUGUCGGGACUUAAUUGUCUUGGUAACGCAGCUAACGCGUGAAGUAGAC
rnacentral:rRNA from 1 species